GAUGAACGCUGGCGGCGUGCUUAACACAUGCAAGUCGAACGGGAUCCAAGGAGCGUUUUUCGUUUUUUGGUGAGAGUGGCGAACGGGUGAGUAACACGUGAGUAACCUUUCCUUUUCUGUGGGAUAAGCUCCUGAAAGGGUGUUUAAUACCUUAUGUUCUGUCUGCCUCGCAUGGGGUGGGUGGGAAAGAUUUGUUCGGUGAAGGGUGGGCUCGCGGUCUAUCAGCUUGUUGGUGGGGUGAUGGCGUACCAAGGCUUUGACGGGUACCCGGCCUGAGAGGGUCGUUGGUCACGUUGGGACUACGAUACUGCCAAGACUCGUGCGGGAGGCAGCUGUGGGGGAUAUUGCACAAUGGGCGCAAGCCUGCUGCAGCGACGCCGCGUGGGGGAUGAAGGCCUUCGGGUUGUAAACUUCUUUUGCUCUGAACAAGGCGCAUCUUUGGGGUGUGUUGCGUGUAGGGGUUGAUUAGCGCCGGCUAACUACGUG
rnacentral:rRNA from 1 species